AGUUGACAUGUCAUCACUUCAUUUUUUGCGCCUGCGCAUAAAUCUGAGAGAUGUGAGUUUGUCAUCAUUGUUUAUCUAGACAUAGGAUAGGUUGUGUGAAAAUAUUACUGAUGUUUAACGUUAAAAAUGGACCAAAAGAUUAAUGCUAAACAACAUUUGACAUGUUUGAACGAACAUAAAUAGAUUAUUUACUAGGUUUUUUUUUAGCUUUUCGGCGUGAUUUUACACUCCCCCCACCACGUUUUGUGGGAGCAUAAUGAACGCUAAGUACUUUGUGUUAUUUGGACAUAAAUUAUGAACUUUGUCAAAAGAAACCACAUUUGUUCCGGACCUGGGAUGCCUUCCGGACCUGGGAUGCCUGCCUUCUGAUGGAGAUAAUCAAAGCUACACAAGGUGACAUCACUUUAAGACGUCUACCAGUGGUCCUCCCAACACCAGUCUACAAGAUAGGCAGGAAGACAUUCCGACCAAGCUUCAAUGAGAUCAGAAAGUCCUUCAUUGACAUGCCGCCUGUAAGGAUAAAAGGUGGAUAGGCAAUGGGAGAUUGAUGGAGAAAUUAGAUAGCAUUUGUAAAUCUUGAAUGAAAGGAACAGCAUUCCAAAAUCUGUUACGCAUAACUGCACACUCCAAGACAUUAGGUAGGUUUUCAUCCAGUUAGCGACAAUUUUUCAUGCAAAUAUUCUAAAAUCUGCAUAAAACGAUAUGCACAAUUUCCCACCAGAGAUGUUUCCAUCAAACAGACUUUUGCAAGUAAAAAACUAUGCGUGAUGACGUAGUGCACAUAAAAAUUACUUUUGCCAUUAACCUGUUGUGGCUAGGGGGCAGUAUUUGCACGGCCGGAUAAAAAACGUAC
rnacentral:lncRNA from 1 species